rnacentral:rRNA from 1 species
CCUACGGGUGGCAGCAGUGAGGAAUAUUGGACAAUGGACGGAAGUCUGAACCAGCCAUGCCGCGUGCAGGAAGACGGCUCUCUGAGUUGUAAACUGCUUUUGUACAAGGGUAAACCUGAAUACGUGUAUUCAGCUGCAAGUACUGUACGAAUAAGGAUCGGCUAACUCCGUGCCAGCAGCCGCGGUAAUACGGGGGAUCCAGGCGUUAUCCGGAUUGAGUGGGUUUAAAGGGUGCGUAGGCGGAUUGAUAAGUUAGAGGUGAAAUGUCCGAGCUUAACUCGGGAACUGCCUCUAAUACUGGUGAGCUAGAGAGUAGGUGCGGGAGGCGGAAUUGAUGGUGUAGCGGUGAAAUGCGUAGAGAUCAGACAGAACACCGAUUGCGAAGGCAGCUUACCAGUCUAUGACUGACGUUGAGGCACGAAAGCGUGGGGAGCAAACAGGAUUAGAUACCCGUGUAGUC